UUCAACCACAUCAGUUAUUUGUGGUAGAUUAUUCCCACCGCCUGAAUUAUUCUAUCCCACUAUGAAAAACUCAAAACGAGAAUGCGCUUUCACGUUGUAGCUGUUAGAAGCGUGCCUAACACGUCCGUGAAUAACAUAAACACCAAGAAAAUACUCGUAGAUGUUCACAUUGCAGUAUUUUUCAAAUACUAUUUAAUUACUUUGUCAUUUUAUGACUUUAAUAGUUAGCAUAAGAGGGAAGUGUUAAUUCUAAAUAAUUUAGUUAUCUUUGUUAGUAUUUUAUAGAACAAUACUAAAAGGCUCGUGCAAGUAAAUGAACUUCUUUUCUGAACAUGAGGAAUACACAUUGUGUGGAACCAUCGAUUCGUGGUUAUUGAUUCGCCAAGAGGGUUUAUAUAGAAAAUCAUCUUUUCCUUUGGUUUGAUUAUCUAGAACACAAUAGAAUACAAAAAAGUUUUUGAAUCAAAAUUUACAAAAAAAAAAACGUCAAAAUCUGGAUUACUGUUAGCGUUCAAUGGAAGUUUGCAACAAUACAGCACAUAAUUGAUUUGUUGAAAUUCUGCCUUAACAGUUUUAUAGUAUCUAAAGAUGACCUUAUUUUAAAUGAAAAACAGUGGUAUGGUGGCAAUAUUUAGUGUCACAGCUUAACACAUGCUCCAAUAAAGUUGUAGCAAUCCCAUCAAUAGUAGCUGCUGCGCCGCCUUUAUCUGCAAGUGCCUAUUGUCUGAUGGCGAUAUUCAGCCAAUACAGUUUAAGCAAUCCCAGCAAGAGUAGCUGCUGCAACACCCUUAUCUGUAAAUGAAAGACACAAAUGAGAACUUAUACCUAUUGAAAGGAACGUUUACAAGUAGGCACGGGCAAAUUUGAAUGUAAAAAUAUAGUUUUUAAGACUAUAUGUCUCAAUUGUUGUAAAUGUGUACCUGUUUUUAUGUGAUAAUAUAAUAUUUUUACAAUAUUGCAAUCUCAUAAACAUUA
rnacentral:lncRNA from 1 species